ensembl:lncRNA
AAGAUGAUGUGCAAUUAGAGAUACUGGGGUGCAAAAGAUCGAGAGGGUAAGUAAUAAUAUGGGGAUGAGGUAGUUCGAUGUGCUAUUUGCAGAUUGACUGUGUACAUUGUUUGGUAAGCAGCUGAUGCUUAAAGUUAGAGAGGGAGAUAUAAGACUCCAGCUUCAGAGAUUUUUGCAAUUCAUUCCAGUCAUUGGCAGCAGAGAACUGGAAGGAAAGGUGGCCAGAGGAAGUGUUGGCUUUGGGGAUGACCAGUGCAAUAUACCUGCUGGAGCGCAUGCUACGGGUGGGUGUUGCUAUGGUGACCAGUGAGCUGAGAUAAGGCAGGGCUUUACCUAGCAAAGACUUAUAGAUGACCUGGAGCCAGUGGGUUUGGCGACGGAUAUGUAGUGAGGGCCCACCAACGAGAGCAUACAGGUCACAUUGGUGGGUAGUAUAUGGGGCUUUGGUGACAAAACGGAUGGCACUGUGAUAGACUACAUCCAGUUUGCGGAGUAGAGUGUUGGGGGCUAUUUUGUCAAUUACAUCGCCAAAGUCGAGGAUAGGAUAAUCAGUUUUACGAGGGUAUGUUUGGCAGCAUGAGUGAAGGAGGCUUUGUUGCAAAAUAGGAAGCCGAUUCUAGAUUUAAUUUUGGAUUGGAGAUGCUUAAUGUGAGUCUGGAAGGAGAGUUUACAGUCUAACCAGACACCUAGGUAUUUGUAGUUGUCCACAUAUUCUAGGUCAGAACCGUCCAGAGUAGUGAUGCUAGUCUGGCAGGCAGGUGCGGGCAGCAAUCGGUUGAAGAGCAUGCACUUAGUUCUACUAGCAUUUAAUUAAAAGCAGUUGUAGGCCACGGAAGGAGUGUUGUAUGGCGUUGAAGCUCGUUUGGAGGUUUCUUAGCACAGUGUCCAAAGAAGGGCCAGAUGUAUACAGAAUGGUGUUGUCUGCGUAGAGGUGGAUCAGAGAAUCACCAGCUGUAACGAUCGUCUGUGGUGGAAGAAAGUGAGGACUAAAGCGCAGCGUGGUAAGUUUUCAUAUUUUUAGUAAAAUAACUGAACACUGGACAAAACAAUAAACGACAAACGAACAGUCCCGUAAGGUGAAUGGAAAAAACACUAAACAGGAAAUAAUCACCCACAAAACACAGGUGGGAAAAGGCUACUUAAGUAUGAUUUUCAAUCAGAGACAAUGAACGACACCUGCCUCUGAUUGAGAACCAUACUAGGCCAAACACAAAACCACAACAUAGAAAAAAGAACAUAGACUACCCAUCCCAACUCACAAAGACAUAACAAAGGAACUAAGGUCAGAACGUGACACCAGCAGCAAGAGUGACAUUGAUAUAUACAGUGCUGGUUGUAGCGUGUGGAAGUAGGGAGAACUCACAUUUUAUGGCUUAAAAAGGUGUUGAACAAAGUGUUUACAGUGCUGAAUAACAACUUAAACAUGAACUUACACAUAAAACAGCAGCUCUUUGCUGUAUCCGUGGAGUCUUCCUCGUCAUGGUUUUAAAAGUUUUGAAAUCUCACAGUAUCAACUUUGCUGUGCGUUCAAGGUAGGCCUAUAGGUGCAAUUGAUUUGUUCUCUGGGCCUGCUGGGUAGGUGGAGUUAUUCCUUCAGACACAUGAAAUGGUUAAAAAUGGGAACACUUUGUCUUUCCGACACUAGGGCUGCACCUACCACCAACAGCGUGAAAUUAAUUUAAAAAAAUAGGAACGCAAGGCUUUAUCGUUGUUUUUUACAGAAAUGUUUGGUGAUCGACUAGGAAUGCCUUGGAGAUUAGAGGUCGACCGAAUAUGAAUUUUCAACGCCGAUACCGAUUAUUGGAGGACCAAAAAACCUUGAUACCGAUUAAUCGGCCAAUUUUUAAAAUGUAUUUGUAAUAAUGACAAUUACAACAAUACUGAAUGAACACUUAUUUUAACUUAAUAUAAUACAUCAAUAAAAUCAAUUUAGCCUCAUAAAUAAUGAAACAUGUUCAAUUUGGUUUAAAUAAUGCAAAAACAAAGUGUUGGAGAAGAAAGUAAAAGUGCAAUAUGUGCCAUGUAAUAAAGCUGACAUUUAAGUUCCUUGCUCAGAACAUGAGAACAUAUGAAAGCUGGUGGUUCCUUUAACAUGAGUCUUCAAAAUUCCCAGGUAAGAAGUUUUAGGUUAUAGUUAUUAUAGGAAUUACAGGACUAUUUCUCUCUAUACCAUUUGUAUUUCAUAUACCUUUGACAAUUGGAUGUUCUUAUAGGCACUUUAGUAUUGCCAGUGUAACAGUAUAGCUUCUGUCCCUCUCCUCGCUCCUACCUGGGCUCGAAUCAGGAACACAUCGAAAACAGUCACCCUCGAAGCAGCGUUUGAACAACUACUCCAAGUCUCAGAGCGAGUGACGUUUGAAACGCUAUUAGCGUUAGCUGGCCAUUUCACAUCGGUUACACCAGCCUAAUCUCGGGAGUUGAUAGGCUUGAAGUCAUAAACAGCACAAUAGCUGCUGGCAAACGCAGGAAAGUACUGUUUGAAUGAAUGCUUACGAGCCUGCUGCUGCCUACCAUCGCUCAGUCAGACUGCUCUAUCAAAUCAUAGACUUAAUUAUAACAUAAUAACACGCAGAAAUACGAGUCUUUGGUCAUUAAAAUGGUCGAAUCCGCAAACUAUCAUUCAGAAAACAAAACGUUUAUUCUUUCAGUGAAAUACGGAACCGUUCCGUAUUUUAUCUAACGGAUGGCAUCCCUAAGUUUAAUUAUUGCUGUUACAUUGUACAACCUACAAUGUUAUGUCAUAAUUAUGGACAAUUCUGGAAAAUUAAUUAUGGCCUUUGUUAGGAAUAAAUGGACUUUACACAGUUUGCAAUGAGCCAGGUGGCCCAAACUGCUGCAUAUACCCUGACUGCUUGCACAGAACGCAAGAGAAGUGACACAAUUUCCCUAAUUAUAACUAGGCAAGUCAGUUAAGAACACAUUCUUAUUUUCAAUGACGGCCUAGGAAAGGUGGGUUAACUGCCAUGUUCAGGGGCAGAAUGACAGAUUUUUACCUUGUCAGCUCUGGGAUUUGUUUUUGCAAUCUUCCGGUUACUAGUCCAACGCUCUAACCACCUGCCUUACAUUGCACUCCACGAGGGACUACCUGUUACGUGAGGGCAGCAAGAAGCCAAGGUAAGUUGCUAGCUAGUAUUAAACUUAUCUUAUAAAAAACAAUCAAUCUUAACAUAAUCACUAGUUAACUACACAUGGUUGAUGAUAUUACUAGUUUAUCUAGGGUGUCCUGCGUUGCAUAUAAUCGAUGCGCCUACUUCGACAAACGGUGAUGAUUUAACAAGCGCAUUUGGAAAAAAGCACUGUCAUUGCACCAAUGUACCUAACCAUAAACAUCAAUGCCUUUCUUUAAAAUCAACACAGAAGUAUAUAUUUUUAAACCUACAUACUUAGUUAAUAGUGCCUGCUAACAUGAAUUUCUUAUAAAAAGGUGUAAAAAAAGAAUAAUCGGCAAAUCGGUCCAAAAAUACAAUUACCCAUUGUUAUGAAAACUUGAAACCGGCCAUAAUUAAUCGGUCAUUCCCGAUUAAUCGGGUGACCUCUAUUGGAGAUAAAACAUAAAAUAUUGUCAUAUAAUUAAAAAUGCAGUUUAUACAAGUUUUAUAUUCAUUUUCCUAAAUAAUUAAUGACAUGCUGUAGUGUGGUGGACUGACUUGAAAAGUUACCUUGGCGACAACUGGAUGCCUCGGAUGAUUAGGUUCUAUUUUCUAAAGGCUCUGUGUGAGUCACAUCUUUUUACAAACCACUAGUGCUAGGCUUUCCAAUACUGUCAUCUGCUGUUCAGUUCAACACAUGCCACAUCCAAGCUGCAAGGAAACUGGUCAAUUCAAGCAUAGAUGUAUAAUAGGGUAGAAAUAAGUUUUAAAAAGAUUGAGCUUUGCAUUUUAUUAACAUUUCAUUGAUUUAAACAUGAUAUUUGUCCAUUUUUAAAUUUCCAGACAGAGUAGCCAUUUUUGUAUAAUAUAAGGAUAUAAUAACAAGAAGUGAUUAUUUAUGAACAGUGAUUAGUUCUGAUACUGUAGUUAGGUAUUCAUAGCUGUGUUUAGUAAGAGAUGAACAUAAAACCAUUGGUCAGGUUACAUUUGCUUGAUAUUAAGUGGAGGGAGUUGGUUAGUACUUUAUGCCAUGUGGUUAUAUCUUUUGCCCCCCUGUUUUCGUUCUCCAAACUAUUUAUGAGGGUGUCGUUCACUCACUUGUCCCCUCUACAUCCUCUGAGGUCCUGUCCUGAGUUACUGAAUGUCUAUCGUUCUCAUUCAGUUUCCUUCUCUUCCUUCUUCUUCCUCUACUUUAGGUUGAGAAGUUAAGCCCUGGAGAGGUGCGUCCUCUUCUCGCACUUCUAUUGUGUCUUUCCCCAUUUCAGUAGCUCUAUCACUGCUGUCUUUCCCUCCUUGUCCCCUCUUCCUCUUUCUAUGGACCAAAGCUAUUACCAAAAUAAUGCCAGGUAAAACACAAAGUAGAAGGAUUAAUGUAACAGUUGCCACGACUCUUUGCAUGUGAUAUCUCAACUCACACUCCUGCAUGAGUUCAUCUACAGAUAUUUCACCCUCAUUGAGGACCAGCAUAAGAUGGCCACACUCAUGACUGAAGUUGACCCAGUUUCGCAGCUCUAUGUCAACAGUAGUGUCGCCGAGUCCAUAAAAUGUCAGAAACACUCCGUCAAGUAGAUAUGAACAGUCAACAGACUUCUCAGACAGAGAGCGCAGGUACACAAUGUCCGUGGCAUUAUCUGUGGCACAGUUGUCUAUGAUCACUGAGCCAUGGUGGGAAACCAUCAUGUAAAUGUCACUUCCCUCUCCUCCAAUCAAGUAAUCUCCUCCCACAAGGGACACUAGAAUGUCGUUGCCGUCAGAGCCUUUUAGUAGGGCAGGUUCGUAGCCAGACACCAAGAUAUCUGAGUAGAUAGUGCCAAUCACAUUCUCAACAUCCUUCAACACGUCUCCCUCAGCAUCUGCCUGACGGCAUUCUCCGCUCAGCAGGUUGACGUAAACGCCCUCACCCCUCUCAUGAUCCCCCUGGUACAGCACAGUGUCUCUCCCUGGGCCCCCGUCCACUAGAUCAGCCCCUGGUCCGGGAACGAAGGUGUCAUGGCCGGCCCCUCCAUCCAGUACAUCAAUCUUGAUGCCACCGAAGAGUACGUUCUCCUGCUCAUUACCUGUAAUGUAAUUGGAGUCAUGGGGACAGCCCUGCACAGUGUGAACCAAUGAUAAAUUUGAUUGAGAACUCAGAUCUAUUUGGCAGUCUCCCAGUUUUCCUUUCAUUGUCACUUUGUAAGCUUCAAUCCAAGGCUUUUGAAAGCUACGCGUUUUGUUUCCAACUGGAGAUCUAACCCAAAAAUGCACUCCAUCAGAGCUCUGGAAGCUAAGAUGUUGGUGUUGUUGCCCUGAAUUAUAGUUGAGCACUCUGACCUGAAUUUUAUGCCCCUGUGUACCUGUGCUCACAAGUACAUCAUGCUUGUCAGACUGAACUGUGAGUUGACCACCACCAAGGAAAUCCAUCUCAAACAACACAGUAUCCAUUCUUUCAUCCUCUGCAAAGUUUUCAAUCAUGAUAUUGGUUCCAUAUCCAGUGUUCACUACAUAGGUAUCCUUCCCAUCUCCUCCCACCAUGCUACCACCUCCAGUAAAAGGAUCCAGCAUGUUAUUUUUGUCAUUUCCUUCCAUGCUGUCGAAACCAGAUGAGCCAUACAUUUCCACCACUGAGGCAAAGUCGCUGUUAUUCAUCUUCAUGAUUUCUCCAGUCACCCUAUUUCGGAAAUCCACAGACUGAGGCAGCUUUAAGGAGCCAUCGCAACUGCUGGCAUUGGACUCCAGUUGAAAUGUUAUUCCAUCAGCUGAUUGGAUGUGGAGGUGUUGAGAGUUCCUUGAGUGAAACCAGCCCUUCAAUAGGACUUCCUCUGAGCCAUUUAUGGAGAGAUAAAUGUCUGGUCCAUUACAUUUACAAUUGAUGAAAUCAUAUUUUUCUCUCAGGAAAAGUACAUCAGUAGCCAGAUCGGGUGAGUGGUUCUCAAUGGUUUUCAAGCCUUGUCCUGGAGUUACAACAUACCAGUCCUCCCCUCCUCGCCCCUGAAGAAAGUCUGUUCCUCGCCCUGGCACAAUUGUGUUGCGUUGUACGUUCCCUUUGAUGAUGUCAUUGAAGGCUGAGCCUCGCACCUCUGUUACACUUUGGAAAGCCUCAUCCUCCUGCAGAUCCACAUGUAGAGCAGCUGUGGACUUUCUGUAAUCUAGAUUCUGACUUAUGAGGCAUUUGCUCUUAAAUGAGUCAAUCUGCUCACAGGCUGCCUUGUUCUCAGAGAUGCUGAAGGUGACCAGAUCCUUUGUGAUAACAAGCAAGUGCCUGUCCGCUUCUGAACGGAACCAGUUCAUUAAGGUCACAUCAAAACUUUGAUCAGCAAAAGGCAUCAGUUUGAGAUGGUUUCCAUCCACUUUAACUUUGAAUUCAUGAAGGUUUGCCUCUAUCACCAGUAUGUCUGUUUCAUUGUCAUAGGAGUGAUUUUCAAUGAAUAUCUUUGUCAGUUUUUUCUCAUAAACCAUAUAUAUGUCCUCUCCUUCUCCUCCCCUCAGGUGGUCCUGACCCCCUCCACCAUCAAUCAGGUUCUUCUGUCUAUUUCCUAUUAGUAUGUCAUUGUAAGGAGACCCCAUGAUAUUAGUAACGCUAAGGAGAAGUGGUUCGGAAGCGUUCACUGUCUGGCCAUGAGUUUUAGACAUUCUAUUGAUACCUCUGGCAAUCAGUUGGACAGAGGAAAUCACUGUGGUGGAGAUGUCGAACAGGACUCCGUCCUCUGACAUCAUGUUCAUGUGGCGAUAUUCGUCCCCCAAAAACCAGUUCAUAAUCCUAAUGUUAUGGUUACCAAGAUAUCUUAAAACAAUAUCAUUUCCUGACUUACUGACAGAAAUCUGACUGUAGUUAACGCCAAGGAGUAGGACAUCUGUUGAUUUGAAAGGAUCAUAGUUAUUAAUAAUCGUGUUUCCUCCAUAGACAGGAAUGAUGAAAGUGUCUUUGCCGCCACACCCCUCCACAUAGCUUUUUUGAGGUCCCAAAUAGAACACGUCAUCACCAUUUUUUCCAUAAAGCUUGUAGUAAUAGCUCAACAUGACUUCAAUGCCAUGGUCGUCAUCUGCCUUCUGAACGGCAAAAAAAUUAUUUGCUUCAUUGUUUCCCCAAUAUGUUCCAAAUCUUGUGUCUGACAAAGCCUCAUAACCAGAAACGACAGACAUAGAGCCAACUUUUAUGAAUAGGAGUAUUUUUAUAUCUAUGUUUUUGUAAGUUAAUCUAUGUGAUUCUCCAAUGCCUAGAACAAUGUCUUUAGUUCCUUGUGUGUCAAUAGUCCAACACCUUUUUCCCGAGUUUUCGUCACUGGAUACAAAAUAAUCCAUGCAGAAGUCAGAUGAUCCCUGGUCUGAGAGACAAAAAGUGAUACUCCCUCCAUUCCAAGAAUCCUCACCAGCUGUGAAAUCAAUGGCCUUUCUCCCAUCCUGUACCUCUGCAAAAUAAUAGUACUUUUGGUGGUCUGAAAUUUGUUGAACAAGCCUUCGUCCCUCCUCAAUCUCACGAUAAGGAAUGGUAUAAAAAAAGCUUGCCACAUCAAGGAUAAAGUGUAAAAGUCCUUUCCCAAAGCCAACAAAGAAUGCUCUUAUUUUUGCCAAAACUCCAGCAUUUGGUGGUAAAUGAAUGAGUUCAGUCUGAAUAUCAAGAUAUACAUCAUCAAAGAUCAUUCGUAUGGUAUUUAGUGCCAGGUUGAUUGGCACAAUUAAUGGCGCAAGUUCUGGUUGACCGAUUUCAAGAAAAUCCAAGGCAACUAUUGCAGCAUCGAAGGUGGCAUCAAUAUACCCCAGUGCAUCUUUCCUCUUAAAGUCUUCCACAAUAUUGUAAAUUCCAAAACCAAUCCCUAUGAUUGGCAUAACUACCAGGGCACGUUUCACCACAGGGCUUUUGAUUAAUGUUACCAUGGCUCUCAUUGCCUUGCGCUCUAAAACCUGAGGAACUUGUUUACCAACUGCAGCCAAGGUCAUUCCUGUGACUCCAUGUACAGUCUGUAACGUGGCUAUUGUACCAUGUUCAAUGUCUCCCUCUUCAAAAGCAUGAACAGCUCCUUGCAUCCCCAACAUGAGUCCCACUGCUCCAAUUGCCAUCCCUGUGUGCUCUAGGUGCUUCGAGACCUGGUGAGAAUGGGUCCCAUCUGGAAUCUCCAGGCCAUGAACUGUCUCCAUGUUUUUCCACAUUUUCUCUGUGUAUAGUUGUCCCCCUGGAUGCAACUCCACCUUAAAUUCAAUUGUUUCCCGGAGAUUCUUCUUCGAUGUAAGCUGGCAACGAAAUUGUCCAUCCUCCAGCCUAAUACUGCCUUCUUUGACAUGUAGUCCCUCCGAGUCCAGCCUGUCACCAAAUUCUCUCCUCAACUGAUUGUGAAUCUGUUCAGCAAACAUAGCAGAGGACCUGGCGUAAUACGAAGAGAGCUUGAGUGAAUGCUCUACUUCUGAAGCAGAAUGUAGAUCUUUCAAUGUCACAGAGCCAUCAUGGGACCCACCCAAAAGUCCAGUGACCUCAUUUAGGGUUGAUUGUUUACCAAUUUCAUUUAAGAAAUGACUAUAAUCCUUUAUGAAUGAACUUUUAGAAAUCUCAUUCACAAGUGCAUACUCAUUUGCAAGUUUGUAGAUCUCAUCUUCUACCUUGUUGUUAUCCAUUUUUUUCCAUUUCCACCAUUCUUCAAACACAUUAUUCUCUUUUUCUGUAAGGUCCAUAAGAUCCUUUUGUAAUUCCUCUGGGAUCUUACGUUUAUAUUUUAAUAUGUUUUUUAAUUUGCUAGAAUCUAUGUCUGAGGACGAACCGAAAAAUCCUCGCCUACUUGGAUCCACCCAAGAACCACCUGCUGCCAUUGGAUGAUUCUCCAUGAGGAAACUCAAACCUUUGUCUUUCACAUUAUUGUCUGUGCUGUGGGCCAUAUCUAAGGCCAUCAGGACAAGAGGAAAUGUACGGAAAUUUCUGGAGGACUCUGAUAUUAUUGAUGCCAUGAAAUAUGUUCUGUACCAUGCCUCCUUCAUCAUACCUUGUGAGCCUUUAUUAAUGUAUUCCCCCUGAAGAGUUUCUUUCACAAAAUUAGGAUAACUUUCUUUGCCAUCUCCUAUAUUUUCACGGAUGGCUGGAUAAUGUUCUUUGCCAAUCUGUUCCUCAACACAACGUUUUAUCUCAUCUAUUCUGUUUUGAUUUCCCUUUUCAUUGUUGUCAAGCUUUUUCCCCACUGGAAACACAUAUAAAGAUUGGGGGUUUAUCUCAUAAAUCCAGUCAUGUAACAUCAGGUAGGUGGUCUUAUCUUCUCCAAGCUUUGCAUUGUGAUGGAUCACACUUAGGAUAUCCUCACCUGACUUCAUUUCAUAGCAGUUAUCAAGAAUACCUUUAAUGACGUUGUUAUCUUCAAUCCAUGUUUUCUCCUUUAUUGUAUUUCUUCUGUUUACCAUUUGCCUCUCAAUAUUGCAGAUCCGAAACUCUUCAUUGUCCAAAUUUGUCUGUAACUUUUUUGAAUUUUUAUCACUUUUCAUUGGUUCAAAAAUUGCCCAGGUUAAAGCUUCAAGUUCAUUAGUAUAUUUUCUACGUGCAUAAGAUUCAACAAAUCUCUUUGGAUUGUCUGGCCAUGUGUCUCUGUAUUUUUUAAAACGUUCUUGAACAGAAGUUUCCCCUAGAAAGUUUCUCUCAUUUGAAAAAAUCCCUUCCCCCCUGUUGCUGAACUGUUCUCUAGUGACGACAUUUCCAUCUCUGUCUAACAUUGCCACCACUUUCUUGCUGUCAUCCUUAUGUUUUGUUUCCAAUCCAGUGGGGGUUAUUUCUACAGUUAUCUUCUCCCCAGAGUGGCUGACUUGGAGCAAAGAACUCCUUAGGUGUAGUUCUGUCUCAAUAGACCUGGUGUGGAGCUCUUUUAACAGGGUGUUCUUGAAGGCUUCAUCAGACCCAACUUCACAGGCCACCACACUUGUGGUUUUAAUAUGGUCACUAGUCCUGGCAGUACGUCCAAUGAUGUCAGCCACGUCUUCGGCUUUGUACCCUCCAACCCUCAUCUCUCCUUCGCUGUCUCUGCUCCCAUGGCCUACAAGGACCAGUCUGCUCUCUUCUGACAGUGGCACCGGGUCACCUUUGAUCAGUUUAGGCUGUUGGUUUUCCAGGAUGUACACAGAGGUCACAGUGGGAUGUUUCUCAUAUAGAAAUUUAGCAGCUUCCCGAACAAUGGGGUUAUCUUCCAGUAUUAGGAUGUGCUGUUUAUCAUACUGUGUGGUGUGAUCAAUGUGUCUCUUUGGAGCAUGGUACUCAGCUGCAGUGUCAGUGUGAUCCAUGAUUUGAAAGAUGAGAAGAUCUCCCGGGCUGGUAGUUUCCAAGACAGCAUUAUUGUCAUGAUACUUAAAAACCCUCAUGAAGUCAUUAUGAAAUGAAGAAGUGGUAUUGAUGUCAAGGGAGAAAACGGAUGCUGAUCUCAAUGAUGGUGUCAACAUUAGAUUUGCUAGUGAGGAACCAGAGUAACCGGACAGAGUAUGUCCAUCCUCUGAGGCAGUACCAAAUAUCUUCACAACUGUGCCACUGUUAACGGUUGGGAGACAUGAAUCAUUGUACAUACAAGCAUCACUGACCAUUACUGAAUAAUGAGGAUCUAUGCUGUACUCCUCUUCUACUCGCUGACGAGUCCACUCUUCCUUGUCCAUUAUAAGGAGAAGUUUGUUGCUGUAGGUGUAAGACAUUUCAGAAGCAGACAGCAGCAAAUCUUGGAUCUUUUGUCUAUCAAUUUCUUCCAGAAACCUUUCAAAAUCCUGAGGGGAAAAAAAAAACAAUUAAAAAAACAGAUUGAAUCUGGGAUUCGAAAGAUUUAACCACUCUAAAAUGCAUAGACAGAGCAAGGACUGACCAUCCAUGGAUGCGAAGGCUGACCCUCCAUGAAAUAAAAAUGUGUGUUUUAACAAUUGUUUGAAACUACAGUGGAGUCCGAAAUGAUUGACACCAUUGAUAGGUAGUCUAGCG